rnacentral:rRNA from 1 species
CCUACGGGUCGCAGCAGUGGGGAAUAUUGCACAAUGGGCGCAAGCCUGAUGCAGCCAUGCCGCGUGUGUGAAGAAGGCCUUCGGGUUGUAAAACACUUUCAGCGGGGAGGAAGGCGGUGAGGUUAAUAACCUCAUCGAUUGACGUUACCCGCGGAAGAAGCACCGGCUAACUCCGUGCCAGCAGCCGCGGUAAUACGGCGGGUGCAAGCGUUAACCGGAAUUACUGGGCGUAAAGCGCACGCAGGCGGUCUGUCAAGUCGGAUGUGAAAUCCCCGGGCUCAACCUGGGAACUGCAUUCGAAACUGGCAGGCUAGAGUCUUGUAGAGGGGGGUAGAAUUCCAGGUGUAGCGGUGAAAUGUGUAGAGAUCUGGAGGAAUACCGGUGGCGAAGGCGGCCCCCUGGACAAAGACUGACGCUCAGGUGCGAAAGCGUGGGGAGCAAACAGGAUUAGAUACCCCCGUAGUC